GACCUGUUGGCGCAGUGGUUAGUGUACCCACAAUAACUGUUCAAUUCUAUCCAUUAUGUGGAGGGCCUAGUUUGACUCCGACUCUGGGACAGGUCA